AGGUAGAUGUUUUCUUACAUCUUCUCAGCACACGUCCGAUCACCGAAGUUAAGCAAUGUCGGGCCCGGUCAGUACUUGGGAGGGUGACCACCGGGUGCUGUAAACU